GGCACAUUUGCGAAGUAGAGUGGUUUAGUAGGGUCAGAUGAUCCUUCUUAUCUACUAUACUUCAAACUUGGGCCC
rfam:Haemonchus contortus, ISE/inbred ISE, WGS project CAVP01000000 data, contig: Hcontortus_32504